CGCGUAGGCGGGAUAUUAAGUCUCAUUUAAAAGUGCGGGGCUCAACCCCGUGAUGGGUGAGAAACUAAUAUUCUUGAGUGCCGGAGAGGAAAGCGGAAUUCCCAGUGUAGCGGUGAAAUGCGUAGAUAUUGGGAGGAACACCAGUGGCGAAGGCGGCUUUCUGGACGGUGUCUGACGCUGAGGCGCGAAAGCCAGGGGAGCGAACGGGAUUAGAUACCCCGGUAGUCCUGGCCGUAAACGAUGGGUACUAGGUGUAGGGGGUAUCGACCCCUCCUGUGCCGGAGUUAACGCAAUAAGUACCCCGCCUGGGGAGUACGGCCGCAAGGUUGAA
rnacentral:rRNA from 1 species